rnacentral:rRNA from 1 species
GACAGAGGGUGCAAACGUUGUCCGGAAUCAUUGGGCGUAAAGCGCGUGUAGGCGGUCCGGUAAGUCCGCUGUGAAAGUCCAGGGCUCAACCCUGGGAUGCCGGUGGAUACUGUCGGACUAGAGUACGGAAGAGGCGAGUGGAAUUCCCGGUGUAGCGGUGAAAUGCGCAGAUAUCGGGAGGAACACCAAUUGCGAAGGCAGCUCGCCGGGACGUUACUGACGCUGAGACGCGAAAGCGUGGGGAGCAAACAGG